UGCCAGCCGCCGCGGUAACACGGGGGGCGCAAGCGUUAUUCGGAAUUAUUGGGCGUAAAGGGCGCGCAGGCGGUCUUGUCCGUCUGAUGUGAAAGCCCGGGGCUCAACCCCGGAAGUGCAUUGGAAACUGGCGAACUUGAGUACGGGAGAGGAAAGUGGAAUUCCGAGUGUAGGGGUGAAAUCCGUAGAUAUUCGGAGGAACACCGGCGGCGAAGGCGGCUUCCUGGACCAAUACUGACGCUGAGACGCGAAAGCGUGGGGAGCAAACAGGAUUAGAUA
rnacentral:rRNA from 1 species